CAUAUCAAUAAGCGGAGGAAAAGAAACCAACAGGGAUUGCCUUAGUAGCGGCGAGUGAAGCGGCAAAAGCUCAAAUUUGAAAUCUGGCUCUUUCAGAGUCCGAGUUGUAAUUUGAAGAAGGUAUCUUUGGGUCUGGCUCUUGUCUAUGUUUCUUGGAACAGAACGUCACAGAGGGUGAGAAUCCCGUGCGAUGAGAUGAUCCAGGCCUAUGUAAAGUUCCUUCGAAGAGUCGAGUUGUUUGGGAAUGCAGCUCUAAGUGGGUGGUAAAUUCCAUCUAAAGCUAAAUAUUGGCGAGAGACCGAUAGCGAACAAGUACAGUGAUGGAAAGAUGAAAAGAACUUUGAAAAGAGAGUGAAAAAGUACGUGAAAUUGUUGAAAGGGAAGGGCUUGAGAUCAGACUUGGUAUUUUGUAUGUUACUUCUUCGGGGGUGGCCUCUACAGUUUAUCGGGCCAGCAUCAGUUUGGGCGGUAGGAGAAUUGCGUUGGAAUGUGGCACGGCUUCGGUUGUGUGUUAUAGCCUUCGUCGAUACUGCCAGCCUAGACUGAGGACUGCGGUUUAUACCUAGGAUGUUGGCAUAAUGAUCUUAAG
rnacentral:rRNA from 1 species